CGGCCAAGUAUUUGCCCCCAGGCCACGGUAUCCACUCUAUGAGCAUUCUACAGGUUCUUCUCUGCCGAUUUUUGGCAAAAUCCCUCUCUCCCGUGCCCUAGGGCGUCACCCCGAUCUCGCCGGAGUUCCAGUCGAGGAGCUUCAUCGCCGGUGUGUUCCGUCGCCACCAGGAGGACGAGGUCCGAGUUCCGCCGGAGUUCUCCGACGCCGCCGCGCCAUUGUUGGAGAACCGCAGCCAGCAGAGGCCACCCCCGUCGCCCCGGAUGCCUCCAAUCUCCCUGCCGUUGUGCGUCUCUUCCUCUGGUCGGACCGCCGUCGCCGGAGUUUGCUCGUAGCCGCCGCCGUCGUCUCCACCGAGCCGCCCGCGCCUUUCUUCUCCAACUCCGGCGACCACACAGCCCUCUGUUUUCCGAUUGUCCGGAGUGUGAAGCGGGUCAGAAUUGAGCGUUAGAGUACUUCAGCACUGUUCAAGG